UGGCGUACUGCAACAAAGAUACAUUAUAAGAUAAUUUGAAUCACAAAUGUAUAAGGGAAGACAGGAAAAAGAUUAUAAGAUAAUUUGAAUCACAAAUGUAUAAGGGAAGACAGGAAAAAGGUAAGAGAAUAAAAUGUUGGAGUCCCAUAUUAGCUAAUUAAGUAGAAGAUCAUUGAUAUAUAAGUGAAAGACACUAUCUAGAUUGUGAUACGGAGGUCUUUUGGAGAAACUAAAAGCAAAACUAUGAAAGCUUAUACUCAAAGUGGACAAUAUCUUACCAUUGUGAAGGGCCGUUGUUCCUAAAAAUUCAGUAUAUAGAAAAUAUCAAACGAUAGAGCAUAAACCAGUAGAGGUGCAUUUGAAAAUUACAUGCAAACACAUCAUAAAGAUUGGAAAUGUAAAUAGAGAG